UACGUAGGGGGCUAGCGUUGUCCGGAUUUAUUGGGCGUAAAGAGCGUGUAGGCGGCCAGGUAGGUCUGCUGUGAAAACUCGAGGCUCAACCUCGAGACGUCGGCGGAAACCAUCUGGCUAGAGUCCGGAAGAGGAGAGUGGAAUUCCUGGUGUAGCGGUGAAAUGCGCAGAUAUCAGGAAGAACACCCGUGGCGAAGGCGGCUCUCUGGGACGGUACUGACGCUGAGACGCGAAAGCGUGGGGAGCGAACAGGAUUAGAUACCCUGGUAGUCCACGCCGUAAACGAUGGGUGCUAGGUGUGGGCGGUGUCGACUCCGUCCGUGCCGAAGCUAACGCAUUAAGCACCCCGCCUGGGGAGUACGGCCGCAAGGCUAAA
rnacentral:rRNA from 1 species